rnacentral:snoRNA from 1 species
CUGGUACCUAUGAUGGUGUUGAAUGUACUUUGAGCAACAGCUACGCAAACAACUGCACUCUGAGGCAAUUA